ensembl:lncRNA
AUGUGAACCGUGGCGGAGCAAAAAUUGCUUGCAUUGUUGUUUUCAUUAUCUGGCUUCUGUCAUUUCAUAAGCGUUGUAUCUUUGGAUUGAAAGAGAGAAAAGAAAAGGGUAGGGUGAAGAAAAAGAAGCAAUGGAGAAAAAGAAGAGAGAAAAAAAAAAAAACAGUGAAAUGAAUCUUUUGUGCCUGGCCUGAUGGAGAUGCGACAUGCCGUACAAAAGCCGGACCAGGAGAAGAUACUGUGAUUGAUGAAUGAAGUAAAGGUGUCAGAAGUGUAUUAUGUAAAUUAGCGGAGCCAGAGACCAUUUCGGGAGCGAAUGAGAGAGCGGACGGCCGCAUUUGUGCAUGUCAUGCGGGGCGAUCGUCCCCGUGCGCCCCGUCACCGUGCCAUCUUUCAUCUCAGCAGACAACCUCGGCUCGGCCCGGCAAUCUCUGCUGCCGCACGCCUCUACAACACUAUACUAUGAGCCGGAGAGAGAGAAAGAGAGGAAGGGGGAUAGAGGAAGGAGAUGGAGAGAAAAAUAAGGGUGUUCCAAAUGGCUGAGGUAGUCAAAUUCACCCACCUGGCUAUUUUUCAAAUGGAUCAUGCAAAGUUUGAGGUGGAGCAUGCACAGAGGUCUGUGUAAAAUGUAACCAGCCCAGAUGACAGACCCAUACCGAUACUGG